AUCAAGCUUGUUACAAGUUGCUAACAGCAUGUGGCAAGGUUGUUGAUACAGUAUUAUCAGACUUGUAGCAAAAUUGUUCUAACAAGUCUGAUACAAUCAUGAUAUAACAAGUAUGUUACAAGGUUGAUGACGCAAGGUUGUAACAUUCUUGUUAUAUAUCGUCAUGACUGUAUCGGAGUUGUUGGAACAACCUUGCUACACGUCUGAUAUUAUUAACAAAUUUGUGACAAGCUGUUAAUGACUCGUAACAAGCUUGAU